UAUAGAACUAGUUAAAAAAUAACCCCGGAUUGUCAGACCGAAAUUACUAGUAACCAUCCUAGUGUUCUUUAUC
rnacentral:tRNA from 1 species